AUACGUAGGUGGCAAGCGUUGUCCGGAAUUAUUGGGCGUAAAGCGCGCGCAGGUGGUUCCUUAAGUCUGAUAUGAAAGCCCCCGGCUCAACCGGGGAGGGUCAUUGGAAACUGGGGAACUUGAGUGCAGAAGAGGAUAGUGGAAUUCCAAGUGUAGCGGUGAAAUGCGUAGGGAUUUGGAGGAACACCAGUGGCGAAGGCGACUGUCGGGGCUGUAACUGACACGGAGGCGCGAAAGCGUGGGGAGCAAACAGGAUUAGAUCCCCUGGUAGUCCACGCCGUAAACGAUGAGUGCUAAGUGUUGGGGGGUUUCCGCCCCUCAGUGCUGCAGCUAACGCAUUAAGCACUCCGCCUGGGGAGUACGGUCGCAAGACUGAAACUCAAAUGAAUUGGCGGGG
rnacentral:rRNA from 1 species